CCUACGGGAGGCAGCAGUGAGGAAUAUUGGUCAAUGGGCGCGAGCCUGAACCAGCCAAGUCGCGUGAGGGAUGACGGUCCUACGGAUUGUAAACUUCUUUUGCCGGGGAGCAAGCGUGCGUUCGUGAACGCGCGUCGCGAGUACCCGGAGAAAAAGCAUCGGCUAACUCCGUGCCAGCAGCCGCGGUAAUACGGAGGAUGCGAGCGUUAUCCGGAUUUAUUGGGUUUAAAGGGUGCGUAGGCGGGAUGCCAAGUCAGCGGUAAAAGUGCGGUGCUCAACGCCGUCGAGCCGUUGAAACUGGUGUUCUUGAGUGGGCGAGAAGUAUGCGGAAUGCGUGGUGUAGCGGUGAAAUGCAUAGAUAUCACGCAGAACUCCGAUUGCGAAGGCAGCAUACCGGCGCCCUACUGACGCUGAGGCACGAAAGCGUGGGUAUCGAACAGGAUUAGAUACCCCUGUAGUC
rnacentral:rRNA from 1 species